rnacentral:lncRNA from 1 species
ACAUACAUCUACACUUAACACCCGCAGCUAGGAAAACAUCAUCAAUGCAAUCACUAUAAGGCAUGAUGGAGUCCAAAUGUUGCAAGAGGUGGCCAUAGCUAUUGCAGGACUGAACACUAAUCAAGCACUAAGGAAUCAAAUCAGAAGAAAAUCUCCAUAUGCAUUGAACCUGUUAUGCUACCGAGGCUGUGACAUUAGAACAUAACAGAGGAUUGAAAACGGGGGUACCACAAAGAAACUUCCAACUUCAAGGAUGAUCUGGCUUCCUUUUUAAUCAAAUAAAAGGGGUACCUUUUGUUGUCUGCAAUUUGCUCAUUAUGACAAUAGAUUUAAAAUUCUUAAGGAAAAUAAACAGAUUAGGUGCCUCCAUUAUUUGCUGCAUAACUUUAUAUUUUAAUUUUUCCAGGCUUAAAAUCUGCAGAAUGCUCUUAAAA